ensembl:lncRNA
UGCCAUCGCCACUACCCUCCACUCAGCACUCACACAUCUAGAGAAAAAAGACUCAUACGUCAGAAUGCUGUUUAUAGACUUCAGUUCAGCAUUCAACACAAUCACCCCUUAACAGCUCAUUUACAAACUGGUCGAGCUGGGGCUCAACACUUCGCUGUGCAACUGGCUGUUAGACUUUCUGACUGGAGACCUCAGGCAGUACGUGUCGGCAGCAACCCAUCCAGCACCAUCACACUGAACACUGGGGCCCCCCAAGGAUGUGUGCUGAGCCCCCUCCUCUUCACUCUGCUGACCCACGACUGCACACCGUCACACAACUCCAACCUCUUUAUUAAGUUUGCGGAUGACACGACUGUAGUGGGUCUCAUUAGCAACAGAGAUGAGACAAACUACAGGAGCGAGGUGAGCUGCCUGGCCGGGAGGUGCAGUGACAACAAUCUCUCUCUGAACGUGGAGAAGGUGAAGGAGAUUGUUGUUGACUUCAGGAGAGUGCACACUCAGCAUGUUCCUCUGACCAUCAACGGUGCGUCUGUGGAGAGAGUGAGCAGCACCAAGUUCCUGGGUGUGCACAUCACAGAGGACCUCUCCUGGACCAACAACACCGCAGCACUGGCCAAGAAAUCACAACAGCAUCUCUACUUCCUCCGCAAACUGAGAAGAGCCAGAGCCCCACCCUCCAUCAUGUGCACCUUCUACAGAGGCACCAUCGAGAGGAUCCUGACGAGCUGCAUCACUGUGUGGUACAGUGCCAGCAACGCAUCCUGCCGGAAGACUCUUCAAUGCAUAGUGAGAGUAGCUGAGAAGAUCGUUGGUGUCUCCCUCCCCUCCCUCCAGGACAUUUACGGAACCCCUCUCAUUCGUAAAGCCCUCUGCAUUGCAGGUGAUCCCACCCACCCACCCGUUCACACAGCUUCUUCAGGCCAGGACCAGCAGACUGAAGGACAGCUUGAUUCAUCAGGCUGUCAGGAAGCUGAACUCCCUCCCAACCUUGCCCCCACUCCCCUGUUUUUCCCCAUGCACCACUCUGAACCUCAGUCCCCCCCCUCAACCCCCCAGCUCCCAUUAACACACUGGGACCUGCACCAGACACUUUGUGCAGCAUUGGUCUGCUCACUACCUCUUUCAGCAGUUAACUGA